UGCAAGUCUCCGCACACCCGUGAGAAAGCCCUUACACCUCCCCCAAGACAAGGAGCUGGUAUCAGGCACAGAACUCUUGCCCACAACACCUAGCUAUGCCACCCCCUCAAGGGUACUCAGCAGUGAUAGACAUUGUUUAUAAGCGCCAGCUUGACUCAGUCAAAGUAAUAACAGAGCCGGCUAAUCCGGUGCCAGCCGCCGCGGCUAUACCGUUAGGCUCAAGUUGACACACAUCGGUGUUAAGCGUGAUUAAAGUACUUCUAGAUUAAAGUUAAACUUAAACCAAGUUGUGAUACGCUUGUUCUUCAGAAACCCAAAACGAAAGUUACUUUAACAAACCACUUGAAUCCACGACAGCUAGGAUACAAACUGGGAUUAGGUACCCCACUAUGCCUAGCCAUAAAAUAUUAACUUACAUCCAAACCACCCGGGAAUUACGAGCCCAAGCUUAAAACCCAAAGGACUUGACGGUGUCCCACCCACCUAGAGGAGCCUGUUCUAUAAUCGAUUCCCCCCGAUUUACCUCACCACUUUUAGCCAACAGCCUGUAUACCUCCGUCGCAAGCUUACCAUAUGAACGAACUUAGUGAGCUAAAAGAUCACCACCUACACGUCAGGUCAAGGUGCAGCCAACAGAGCGGAAAGCAAUGGGCUACAAUUUCUAAAAUAGAAUAAACGAAAGACUACAUGCAACACAGUCAUGAAGGCGGAUUUAGUAGUAAAAAGAAAUCAGAGAGUUCUUUUUAACUAGGCACUGGGACGCGUACACACCGCCCGUCACCCUCUUCAAAUGCAAUCUCAAUGUCAAUAACAUCAAAUCGCACUACAGAAGAAGCAAGUCGUAACACGGUAAGCGUACUGGAAAGUGCGCUUGGCUUA
rnacentral:ncRNA from 1 species